ACGGAUCUACGAGAAAAUUAUCUGAUAAUAUUCUUGAAAUGUUACUUUAACCAUGUCAGAGAAACUGUAAUUGAAAUGUUAAAAGUCCUAACUAUGGAAAAUACGAAAUUAAUUCAAGAGGCAAAAGGAACAAAAAGUCGCAAAAUUGAAUGAAUUUUCGCCAAUUUGUUUCCUUAACUUUAGAACGAGAACUGACGAGAUGUAGAAAGUCAAGACUGCCUUGAUCUGAGUAUGAAUGUAUUACAAAUGCGACACAAACUCGGUGCCUAAAUAUUUCAGUAAACUCCUGCCCACUGGACUUCAGUAAAGGAAAUCCGAGUAGAAAGCGGAGUAUUCAGAACGUCAGUAAGCCCUGGCGUGAUGGACAAAAUGCUCCUAAGAAACUUGGAGAACUGAUUACUGAAAAAAAUAUUGGCACCUUUUCUUCCAAAGUUGUAUUAUCAAAGAUCAUGUCCAGGGACAUGUCUGUAACAUCAAGAGGAUUUGGGUAUCGACAACAAUGACACUUGCUUUGGAUGUAGUCGAGGCUUAGCUUGGAAGCGAGGCAACUCCAUGCUUGUUGUCACCUUGAAGGUUUAUACUCCGUCGGAAAUUCUCCAGAAUGCAGAAACGUAUCAAGUUACCUGUGACAACCCUCAAUGAACAUAUAAUCUGCAAGUUGUGCAAUAGUUAUCUGGUUGAUGCAGCAACAAUCACAAAAUGUGUACACACAGUGACAUACUUGAUAGGACCAUGCAAGAUAUUGUUUACAAACUUCUUCCAAGGGUGGAGAGAGAGGAGAAGAGGAGGGAACGCAAGUUUUACAAAGACAGAGGAAUUCCAUAUCCGGACCCUAAAGGGAUGAAAAUAGCAGAUUAGAAAUAGAGCCAUUGCAAAUGAAAUUCAUAAGGUUAUCAACACAAGUCACUAUUGGACUGAUUCAGAGAUUUUUGGCCAGUAAGCUACACUUGGAAUCUAAAAACAUGAAAUGGGAAGAGACCUAACACUGAAGUACAUCAGUGACAAUCUUUCACCUCAGAAGAACAUCAGGGUGAAGAGAAAACGAUGCAAUUGAAAAAAUUGAAAUAUGAAAUAAAGUUAAAAUCAAUUUUUUGUAGUUCUCGUUUUAGUUUCUUUUUUUUUUCUCUAACAGUUAUCAAAUCUCACAUACCAAAUUAGCACCUACCAACCCUACCCCCCCCUCGAAAAGCGGCUCCCUUAGCAAGCGCCCUUCUUUUGGCCAAAAAUGUAAAAAAGCACACCCCCCUGCAAAAUGCAAUGUUGUGAAUAAUCUCAUUAUUUUACUAUAAUGGUACCAAUUAGCGCCUAUUAUUUCCAAAUAAAUACCUCUUACUAACGAAGGUCGGGGUCCCUACCGUAAGUUGCGGAUCGGUUUUGUUUCCCCUUCCAUUCACGGCCCAAGCGAGGAGCGCGUGGGCCAUAAAUCGAGUGGGACAAAAAACGAGGAUCCGUAACUUACAAUACGGACGGAGAAAACGAAGUAAAACGUGCCGAUGAAUUGAUCGGUUAUUUUUAUAAAAGUUUACAUAUCCGUACUCGACACUGCUCGCCCAAUAUGCCUGUUCGAGGGUAAUCCACUAUCUUUUAUUUACAGAGCUACAACCUAGUACCAAACCAGCCCAAAACUUUUCAUGUUUACGAAUUUUUAACAUUUCCGCAGCAUGCGCUACCUUCCCACACACGCAAGGCUUGGGUAAAAGUGCCGGACAGUGUUUCAAGGCGUGAUGUUACAUGGAGGGCUGAACUCACGAUCUGGGAAGAGAUAUCCCUAUAGAGACCGCCUACUAGGUUAAUAAGAGCUGAGAUGUAUGAAAUAAAAGUCUGUAUAGAUAGGAAGUUCGAACGAAAACUAUUAAUUUUCUGUUUUCCUUCCAAAGCUACGAUAAAUUUUAAAAACCUCCCUCCUUGUUAUAUGUUCCCAGGGCUUGUGUAACGACUAUAGGCAAUUUGAGCGAUUUUGGUUUCAACGAUCUGACACGGCUAAAGAGUACGCUUCAGAGUAUUGCACAGUGGACAACGUGGAUGUAAAGCUGUGUAAGUCAACUGGGUCAUUGUUCGGCUAUUUCUGAAUUUACUAAGGUUGGCAGCUUGAUUUUCUUUGUACAUUUUAUUAUCCGGAAUUCCCCAAUCUCAGUGUCUUUAAAGUCACAUCUCCUGAUUUAAAGCCUAGUAAAAUCACCAAAUCCCGGGAGGGGAUCUACUACUGUUGCAACUUUAAUCGUAGUACUAGCCACUUUAUAUUCAACAACAGGCUUUAAACAAAUAUUUUUUAUCUUUCACACAGUCGUUUUGCUUUACUGUCAAAGUUAUACACCGGAGGGAACAUAUAACAAAGUAUGUGACACAUUAAUUUAAGCUACCAUUGCCUGAAGGUGGAUUCCAAAGUCUCGUAAAUCUCUACUCACGUUGAAGUACGUGAAAUAGUUUUAAAGCACGUAAAAAUGCAAUUUUACACACGCCUUAUUACCUUAAUCGACUUAAAGUUUCCCCAUUCCAGGGGCGCGUUUUCUUUUUUCAAGAAAUUUACGCACGUUUAGUGCAUGUAGAAGCACAUAAAAAUUCCGAAUCUCAAAAUUCAAAAAGUCGAAUUCAGUUCAACUUUUUUGCGUUCGUCUGUAUUUACGCACCAAUUCAACCAAGGGCAUUCUUAGAAAUUUUUUCACAAGACACAUUUCGUGCAUUUGGUAGCCCUUUUGUUUAAAAACGCCGUGAAAAUGGGAAAACAUUCAGAAGUAGAACCCCUGGUUAUCUGGGAAGUUUUAAAAUUUCCUGCAUUUGUGAAAGAAAACACGUGGCGUGAGGUAGUGGAAGCUGUCGGUUGGUAGAAGGAUUUCAGUCGACAACAUCGGGCCCACAAGAAAAAGGACAUGCUCAGGUGUCAUCCGGAAGUAGUUGUAAAAUGAAUCGUGGUCAUUUUAACGAAUUUCUUUAACCAUAGUAUGGAUUCACCCACUAGAAAGCGAUUUUCAGAGAUGUCUCUUAACCCAUAUCUCAUGAGUUAUUUUUCUCUUCUCCUUCGCCUUUGUCGUAGAUGAAUGAGAAGAAAAAAAAGGGCUUAAAGUAUUUACUAGAUUAAACACCGCCCUCCAAUUACUUACGCCGCCCUCGAAUAAACGCCGCAUUUUAGAGCAGAAACAUUAAUAAACGCCGCCUCAUGAUGUGGCGUUUUUCAAACCCUAACCCUGAAAAAAGCAAAUGCCGUGAAAAAUUAUUUUCCAAGCUUGUAACAAUGUGUUAAUAUUAGUACCUUCAGUAGUCAAUAACGCUGAUAGGGGCCGUAACCAAUCAGUGUGAAGGGAUUAUACCACGUGACCAGGGUUUUCCCAUACAUUCUCUUAAAUUUUAAAAUCCAAGAUGGCCCCUUUGGUAGCAAAACAUGGCGCGCACCGGAAAUGACGUCAUAGAUCGCGCGCAUGCCCAAAUAAGGCGAUGGCCAAUGCAUGAAAUCGAGGUUGUCACGUGCCUGACCAAAUAAGGCGGGAACCAAUGAGAGAUGGUUCGGGUGUGAAUAAAAAGGCUGUGUGAGUGUCGAGUUGGUAUUGUUGUUUGGAGAUCGACAAGAAGAUGGCCUCGGAGGAGAGCAAGACGACAGUGGAGGUGUUUGAGAUUCCAUCGGGAGACUUGCCGGACGUGAUUCCUAGAGAUGAAUUUGCGUCGAGAGUGUUGAAGGCUGUGAAGGAUAAUCUUCUUGGAAAGAUUAUGAAAAGCGCCGUUAGUGAAAGUACGGAUAACCUCCUGAAGAAAGAAAUGACGAUUCUGGCCGAUGACGUGAUUAAGUUCAGAAAAGCCAUGUCUACUAGGAUGCGUAAUGACGAGUCUCUGGAGGAUGGGGAACCCGUGUGUUUGGAGAGGUUGCCGGCGAGUUUUGAGGCUGGAUGGAAAGAGUGGAAGAGCGGUGUUGAUGACAGAGAAGAGUUGGCUUACCGAGCAUUUAUCAAAACGAUGAAGACACCACCACCAGAGGAGUGAAAAACAUUUUUUAAUGCCUGUAAAAACUAAUAAAGAUCCUUUAACGAGAGAAUGUAGAUGGUUUCUUGUGUGAUUUUUUGCAUCAUCUUGAGGGCUUGCACGUCAUUGGUUCCCAGGUGCACGAGGGAUAGCAUCAUGGUCUGGGGGGUUAGAAAUUCUCCGUGGAGGCCUGAGGAGGAUUCGAAAACGCGUCCGAAGGGCCGUACGUCGGAUAGGUCUCUUCUCAUGUACCAUGGAUAGGGAAAGUGUUGGGUGAGGAAGAGGAGCAUGACAUCUUCAUCGGGGUGGGGUUCGUUCAAAUAGAUUUUACAGGCCAGGGGUCUCUAUGGAAAA